GUAGCGGUGAAAUGCGUAGAUAGUAGGAGGAACACCAGUUGCGAAGGCGGCUCUCUGGACUGUAACUGACGCUGAGGCACGAAAGCGUGGGGAGCAAACAGGAUUAGAUACCCUGGUAGUCCACGCUGUAAACGAUGAGUACUAGGUGUCGGGGGUUACCCCCUUCGGUGCCGCAGCUAACGCAUUAAGUACUCCGCCUGGGAAGU
rnacentral:rRNA from 1 species